UGGCCAGAUUGAUAAUGUCCUUAACCGUUGCGAAAAUCCUAACCGCCCUUGUUUCUUGUGCAACUGCAAUUACCCUUUUGACUUUGUUCCCUAUGCUACUUAAAGUUAAGGUUAGAGAACUAUUUUUGACUCAAAAUGUGUUGGAGCUUGAUCAAGAGGUUGGUAUGAUGAAGAAACAGAAAGAAGUGUAUACUCAUGUCCGAAUGCUGACACGUGAGAUUAGAAAGUCGCUUGAUAAACAUACUAUAUUGUAUACUACUUUAGUUGAGCUUUCAAAGACAUUGAAUCUGCAGAAUUGUGCUGUUUGGAUGCCAAAUGAGGAUAGGUCAUUGAUGAACUUGACACACGGGUUAAGUCCCGGUUCUGCUGUAGAAUACCAUCGUUCACUUCCGAUUGAUGAUCCGGAUGUGUUAGAGAUAACAAAGAACAAAGGAGUGAGAAUUUUAAGACAAGAUUCGGUUCUUGCAGCUGCAAGCAGUGGAGGGCCUGGUGAGCCAUGUACUGUUGCAGCGAUUAGGAUGCCGUUGCUUUGUGCUUCGGAUUUCAAAGGUGGGACACCUGAGUUGGUUGACACUCGAUAUGCUAUUUUAGUUUUGGUUAUUCCGGGUGCAAAUGAUGAUUGUAGCCAUAAUGAGAUGGAGAUAGUGGAAGUAGUUGCUGAUCAGGUGGCUGUGGCCCUAUCCCACGCAACAGUUCUUGAAGAGUCACAAUUAAUGAGGGAGAAACUAGAAGCGAGGAAUGGUUUGCUGCAACAGGCUAAGGAGAAUGCUGUGAAGGCAAGCCAGGCAAGGAAUUCGUUUCAGAAGGUAAUGAACAAUGGGAUGAGACGGCCAAUGCACUCGGUUUUGGGAUUGCUUUCCAUACUUCAAGAUGAGAACACAAGCUCUAAUCAGAAGAUUAUAAUCGACACAAUGGUGAGAACAAGCACCGUGCUGUCAAAUUUAAUAAACGAUGCAAUGGAUAUACCCGACAAAGACGAAGGGAGAUUCCCAGUAGAAAUGAUGCCCUUUCAGCUGCAUUCACUGAUUAGAGAGGCUUCUUGUCUUGUUAAGUGCCUGUGUGUUUAUAAGGGCUUUCGCUUUUCCACGGAUGUUCCCAAUUCUUUACCUAAUCUGGUGAUGGGUGAUGAGAAGAGAACGUUUCAGGUUAUACUUCAUAUGGUGGGACAUCUAUUGAAUAUCAGCUCCGGAAGGGGCUCCGUUGUAUUCAAGGUUAUUCUGGAGAGUGGAAUCGAGGGCGGGAAUGAUAAGCUUCAGGGAGCAAGAAAACAUAGCGUAUUUGAUGAAUAUGUUACCAUAAAAUUUGAGAUUGAAGUUAGUCGUGGAGGUUCUCAAACAGAUAGCUCAAUCUCAACUUCUCACUUUGGCGGAAAGAGGUACAACAGCAAAGAGUUAAAGGAAGGCAUGAGUUUCAGCAUGUGCAAAAAGCUUGUUCAAAUGAUGCAGGGAAAUGUAUGGAUGCCCUCAAAUACCGAUGGCCAUGCACAAAAGAUGACUCUUAUUCUCCGAUUUCUUAAACAGUCAUCGUUCAGAAAACAUAUGUUUGAGCUUGUACAUCCUUUGGAGCAAGCGAUCUCAAGCUCAACGUUCAAAGGCCUCCAAGUUCUACUUGCUGAUGAUGACGACGUUAACAGAAUGGUAACCAAAAAACUGCUUCAAAAACUAGGCUGCCAAGUGAUUGCUGUUUCGUCUGGUUUUCAGUGCCUAAGUGCAAUGGGACAUUCAACAACUUCCAUCCAAGUUGUCAUUUUGGAUCUUCACAUGCCGGAAAUGGACGGAUUUGAAGUGACAACAAGGGUACGAAAAUUCCACAGUCGUAGCUGGCCGUUGAUCAUAGCCUUAUCUUCUACUUCAGAGCAACAAGUAUGGGACAGAUGUCUACAGGUUGGAAUCAACGGUCUCAUACGAAAGCCUGUUCUCCUGCAAGGAAUGGCUGAAGAGCUUCAAAGAGUGUUACAAAGAGCUGGUGAAGGCUUUUAAAGUAAUACCAAUGAAAAAAAACGAACGUGGAGUUGACGAAACUGUCCCGAGCCUGUACUCUGAUCCGCGAACUUUCACUCAGUGGCAGAGCCAGGAUUUCCAUUAUGGUGAGUCGAAAAAAAUGCAAGAAUGUCACACAACAGAUUCAAACUUGUGGCCUAAAGCCAUUUUAAAAGCUUCUCUUUGUAUUGAAGGGAUCCCAAAAUACAAAUACACAGGAAAAGAAUGUUUUUACCCUAGUUGCACAGUAUAAUUUUUCGACGAA
rnacentral:misc_RNA from 1 species